CUCUGUUCAGCUGGCUAAGGCGAGUCCCGCAAAGCGCUGGCCUCCAGGUGCUUCUGCCAGGCCUUGUGGUGCAAGGGCCCUGCCUCCUCCCGCUCCAGCAGCAGCCCUGGCGAUGCCCACUGCGUUUCUCAGCUCUGUUGGCAGUGGGGGCAGAAGAGGCUGCCUGAGGCCCCCUCCCAGCAAAAGCCGUGGCCACACCUGCAAUGACUGGGUUGCAGCUCUGAGCUGCAAGCAUUGGCUGUGGCCUGGAGACCAGCCACUGGAUGAGAGAAACGCUGUAGGAUCUGCAGGUUGUCUGGAGGGACUCGGGGUCCCUUGGUGAAAAGAGAAACCACUGCCCUUGAGUCAUAAGUAUGAUCAUCCUUUC
rnacentral:lncRNA from 1 species